rnacentral:rRNA from 1 species
UGAGGAUUAUUGGUCAAUGGACGCAAGUCUGAACCAGCCAAGUAGCGUGCAGGAUGACGGCCCUAUGGGUUGUAAACUGCUUUUAUAUGGGGAUAAAGUGGGGAACGUGUUCCCUUUUGCAGGUACCAUAUGAAUAAGGACCGGCUAAUUCCGUGCCAGCAGCCGCGGUAAUACGGAAGGUUCGGGCGUUAUCCGGAUUUAUUGGGUUUAAAGGGAGCGUAGGCCGUUUGGUAAGCGUGUUGUGAAAUGUAGGAGCUCAACUUCUAGAUUGCAGCGCGAACUGUCAGACUUGAGUGCGCACAACGUAGGCGGAAUUCAUGGUGUGGCGGUGAAAUGCUUAGAUAUCAUGAAGAACUCCGAUUGCGAAGGCAGCUUACGGGAGCGCAACUGACGCUGAAGCUCGAAGGUGCGGGUAUCGAACAGG